rnacentral:rRNA from 1 species
AGCAGUCGCCGCGGUAAUACGGAGGGUGCAAGCGUUAAUCGGAAUUACUGGGCGUAAAGCGUGCGUAGGCGGUUCGUUAAGUCUGUUGUGAAAGCCCCGGGCUCAACCUGGGAAUGGCAAUGGAUACUGGCGAGCUAGAGUGUGUCAGAGGAUGGUGGAAUUCCCGGUGUAGCGGUGAAAUGCGUAGAGAUCGGGAGGAACAUCAGUGGCGAAGGCGGCCAUCUGGGACAACACUGACGCUGAGGCACGAAAGCGUGGGGAGCAAACAGGAUUAGAUACCCGGGUAGUCCCUGUCUCUUAUAC